rnacentral:sRNA from 1 species
GAAAGUGGGCUUCUGGGCCAUCUCGCAUAUUCUCAAAGGCCGUGCGUGAACCACCACGCCCAGCCUGGUUUAUUCAUAAUCUUUGUCUUCCUAAUGAAAUGGUAAACUCCUCCAGGCAACCAGGAUACUAUGUGUCUAAAGCCUUUUUAUGACCCCAUAGUGCCAAAUUGUAGCUUUCAGUAGAUCCUUGUGGAUUUUAGUUGCCAGGCAGUUCUUGUCCAGAUGACUCUGAUUACCUUGCCAGUUACCACUGGCACUUCCAAAGUCAGCCUAGGGCCAGAUGAAAGAAUGGAGUAAAUCAAGUGGGCACCAGGAAAUGACAGCACCAGGGGUAACCCUGAAGGUCUGACGAUCUUUCAUAUUUUGUAAGUGAAAAAACCUGAAGCCCAGAGAAGUUAGGCAUUUGUGGAAGGUCACACGGCAAGGAGGUGGCAUGCAUGAUAUCACUUGAUCCUGACCUUCCCUGUCACUGACAGAAAUAGAGGUGAAUGGAGCAGGACAGUCAGGCUCUGCAGAGACCACUCUUAGAAGUCUUUCUAGAGCU